GCUCCCUUUAGCUCAGCGUUGGUCUUAUGAGGCAAAGGUCGCGAGUUCAAACCUCGCUGGGAGCA
rnacentral:tRNA from 1 species